AUGGAUGAGAGGGCUCGCGAUGAGCGGCACGGCAGAGGGAAGCAUGGUACGGAAGCACGCGGCGUGCAGCAUCCGGCACAGGAGGACGUGCGCGCGGCCGCGGGAGCAGCACUUGAAGAGGAAGUGGAACGUGAAGGCGUCGGGGGGCACGCCCCCCCGGCGCAUACGCCGGUAGAGGAGGAACGGGUGCUCAGGUCCCGAGGAGGCGCGGAAGCAAGCGCGGAGCGCGGUGUCGAAGAGGAAGGUGGAGCAGGGCAUUCGGUCGAACAGGCUGAGCGCGUAGCGGAGGUGGAGCGGGUCGCCGGGGGAAAUGCAGCUGGCGAGGGAGUUGAGGAGGUGCGCGGCGGAGGGCUGGUUGAGGAGGCGGCCGGAGGCGGUGAGGACAGCGUGGAGCUCCGUGGCCUGCCGGACGGAGCGAGGGGUCGGCCAUGGCGCCCGGGUCAUCUCACGUCGCGGCUGCUCGCGACGAAGAAAGACGGCCGUGUUUUCUUUAUUUUAUGA
rnacentral:rRNA from 1 species